UACGGGGGGGGCAAGCGUUGUUCGGAAUUACUGGGCGUAAAGGGCUCGUAGGUGGCCAACUAAGUCAGACGUGAAAUCCCCUCGGGCUUAACCGGGGAACUGCGUCUGAUACUGGAUGGCUAGAGUUUGGGAGAGGGAUGCGGAAUUCCAGGUGUAGCGGUGAAAUGCGUAGAUAUCUGGAGGAACACCGGUGGCGAAGGCGGCAUCCUGGACCAACACUGACGCUGAGGAGCGAAAGCCAGGGGAGCGAACGGG
rnacentral:rRNA from 1 species